UGGUCACUUCCACAGCUUUUGAUUCGGUGCCUGUUCUUUUCAGGAAAUGUGUGCCUUAUUGCUUGCAUUGAAUAACUCAAUUGCUAGCUGAGUGGAGGUUAAAAAAUAUCAAAAAAUGUAGAGAGAAUUAAAACUGGUUCUGAAUUAGAAGCCUUCUCAAACGUUCAGUAGAUGCCUAAUGAACAUUUCUGCAGGUUUCCAGACUUCCGACUUCAUCUAACUCUAGUCAAACAAUUAAGAUGACAAACAGAAUGAAAAAUUAAUAUUUGCAAGAUUGAGAGUUGAUUAAAAAUUAAAUAUACAGUGCUUGUGCCAGGCAUCCUAAAAGCUGUGCUGCUCAGACAAACACGCCUGCUUAAUUGCUAAAAUGUUCCUGGAGAUUGUGACUUGGUAAAACUAACAUGAAGAAGGAUGUUGAAAUAGCCUGCAUUUUUUUUGUUGUUGUUUUUUAAAUAUCCCCUGUUAAACCCUGACAGGUUACUGGGCUUACAUUGUUAUAAUGGAAGCCCCACCGCAAACUGAUUUUGAUGUUUGCUUUGGUUGUCUAAAGUAAAAAUCUGUCACUGCACUGGUAUUUUGGUAGUAGUAUUCUGCGGUUCCCUAGGCGUCUCCCAAGAGCUUCUGCUUGGUUUCAUGAGCCCAGAUCAUGUCUCUGUGUCUCUCCUGAAGCCAAAGGGUCUGUUAAACUGGCUUCUGCAUCUGUCUACAGAAAGAAAAUUCCACACAGGCCUUCCAUAGUUUCAGGAAUCUUUUUUUUUGUCCAAACAGGUUGUGACAAAGCACUUUUGAUCUCUGAAUCAAUACCAUUGUUCUUUUCAACACAUGCAAAACGUAACUGGACAUGUAUAGCUUCCUACCAAAAUAAGAAGCUGUCAGGGCUCUGAGCUACACCAUUUACCAUGUGCUGGCAUUUUGUUGGAGCACUAAGUGCUUAUCUGCUUCUUCAGGUUUUCUCUUUAAAUGCAUGAGGCAAGCAGGGACUUAGCUAGUUAAAAUCUAGCCAGGUACAUGGAAAUCUGGAACCUCAUCUUACCCCUGUCCUGUUCUGUUUGCACAUAGAGCGCUAUGCUAUGUCUACGUAAGUUGCCGUAAGGUAUGAAUUUUACAAGAUAGUUCUGGGCCUGUUCUCUUCACAGUCAGCAAUGAGGAAAUAAAUGGCAUUAACUUUUGACUCUUAAA